rnacentral:tRNA from 1 species
GGGUGUAGCUCAGUGGUAGAGCACAUGCUUAGCAUGCAUGAGGUCCUGGGUUCAAUCUCCAGUACAGCCA